UUUGGCGCAACCGUUGUGCACCCCGAACGAGCCCCACCCGACCCCUAGGCCCUGGGCUUUUUUUCUGUGUCGUACCGGGUGCAAUAUAGAUGGGUUUCCACACCUAUCAGCGGGCUAUCAUCGGCCUAAAGAGGUUGCACAAGAUCAAAGAAACACAACUAGUCCAUUGGAAGAAAAGUAUUGGGACGAAAAUAAAAACUGAGUCCGGGCAUCUCCGAG
rnacentral:lncRNA from 1 species